rnacentral:rRNA from 1 species
AUUGAACGCUGGCGGCAGGCCUAACACCUGCAAGUCGAACGGAGUGGCGGACGGGUGAGUAAUGUCUGGGAACUGCCUCAUAGCGGGGGAUAACUAUUGGAAACGAUAGCUAAUACCGCAUACUGUGCGAUGGACCUGCGUUGUAUUAGGUAGUUGUUUCGGUAAAGGCUCACCAAGGCGACGAUACAUAGCCGACCUGAUAGGGUGAUCGGCCACACUGGGACUGAGAAACGGUCCAGACUCCUACGGGAGGCAGCAGUAGGGAAUCUUCGGCAAUGGACGGAAGUCUGACCGAGCAACGCCGCGGGAGUGAAGAAGGUUGUCGGAUCGUAAAGCUCUGUUGUUAGAGAAGCGGUAACUAACCAGAAAGGGACGGCUAACUACGUGCCAGCCGCCGCGGUAAUUC